rnacentral:rRNA from 1 species
UACAGAGGGUGCGAGCGUUAAUCGGAAUUACUGGGCGUAAAGCGUGCGUAGCCGGUUAUGUAAGUCGGGGGUGAAAGCCCAGGGCUCAACCCUGGAACUGCCUUCGAUACUGGGAGUCUUGAGUAUGGUAGAGGUUGGCGGAACUGCGAGUGUAGAGGUGAAAUUCGUAGAUAUUCGCAAGAACACCAGUGGCGAAGGCGGCCAACUGGACCAUUACUGACGCUGAGGUGCGAAAGCGUGGGGAGCAAACAGG